rnacentral:rRNA from 1 species
AUUGAACGCUGGCGGCAGGCCUAACACAUGCAAGUCGGGCGAGCGGCGGACGGGUGAGUAAUGUAUGGGGAUCUGCCUGAUGGCGGGGGAUAACUACUGGAAACGGUAGCUAAUACCGCGUACCAUAGGAUGAGCCCCAGUGGGAUUAGGUAGUUGGUGAGGUAAAGGCUCACCCAGACGGCGAUCUCUAGCUGGUCUGAGAGGAUGACCAGACACACUGGGACUGAGAAACGGCCCAGACGCCUACGGGAGGCAGCAGUGGGGAAGAUUGCGCAAUGGGGGCAACCUGACGCAGCCAGGCCGCGUGAAUGAAGAAGGCCUUCGGGUUGUAAAGUUCUUUCGGUAGCGAGGCGUUAACUACAGAAGAAGCACCGGCUAACUCCGUGCCAGCAGCCGCGGUAAUAC